UCUCAUUCUUAAAUGUCUCUUCCAUACAUUCCAAGUUCCUAAAGGCAUUCAACAUAGCAAAUGCUCUAGAAGCUAUUUCUGAGUCAUAAACCCAGUGACGUGAGCCAAGGUCUUCAAAGGAGACUCUCCUAAUCUAAAAGCCUCUGUUCAGUGAGUGCUCCUACUUUCCGUGGCACCCAGCCUUCUUUCUCUCCGUGCUCCUCUGCAUUUACCAUCUCGCAGGAACCAAUUGAUGCUGAAAUGGAUAGAAGUAGCACGAGUGAAAACUGAAGCAGAGGCAUCAGGAAGACGCAUCCUCAGAAGCUGUAAGACAGCAUGGCGUGGGAGACGGCCCCUCUGUUUCGUCUCCUCAAGUUCCGUGGCAGACUAGUAAGACUGAGUUUGACACCUUGGGAGAGACACGUCUGCCAAGUUUGUCAUCCAUUAAAUUCACAUUAAAUGAUAAGAGUUGACCACAGUAAUGUUGAGAGUUGAAUAAUGUUACUCUAGAAAGAAGAUAAGAAUUGUUUUCAUAUAUUUGAAGAAUUUUUACAAGUACUUGUGUAGAUCAAUGGUCCAAAAAGAGCAGAGACAGUCGUCACCGAGUGAAGACCCAAGAGAUGGUAAUAUCCAUGGAAAAUAAAGAUGAGAAAAUGCAACUGGCCAGUAGAAUCUGACAGCACGUUGAGCCUCUGCAAAAGAACUUUCUGCACUGAGUGCCCUGGGACCCACUUCCCUCUCCGGUCGUCUGUCUUGGCACAGAUUGCUCAAGAAGAGCCCCCCAACUAACCCCUUUUCUCCAUGACCAGAAUCCUGAAAGCUGAAUUGGUUCCUGUUGCUGUCCGCUCCUUGGAUGGAUGCCAGGGCAGCCGUUCACCGCAGGCAGUUAUCAGUCACCGCUGGCAAUCAUGGUCCAGACCAGUUUUCCAACAGAAACACAUUGCGUUAUUGAAAGCAAUGCACGAAAUAUUUUUAAAAGACUCAGUGAUGCCAACGAAUGUCUCAAAAGAAUUCUGAAAGGGUUUCAGAAGAUGGAUGAAUCUUUCAGUUCUAAUUUUCAACAGUUAGCUUGAAUCAUUUCAACAGUUUCCAUUUUUUUUCUCCUCAAGAAAUGCAUUUAGAAGAAAUGUUUUUUGUUUUUUGUUUUUUAUUUUUUUUCAUCAACAUGUUCUGAGUACACACCUACUCCGGGACCAGACCCUGUUUUCGACCUAGGAGACCCAGCAAUGCAUAGGACAGACACAGUCCCUCCUCUUGUGAAAUUUACAUUCUAGUGAAGGAAGAAAGAAAUUAGAUACAUAAAUAGAUGAGGUAAUUACAGGCAGUGUUAGGUGCUAUGAAGAAAUAAAACAAGGUCAAGAGACAGGGAGUGAUUGAAGGGAGGCACAAGGAGUGAUUCUGAGGUGUGAGGAGCUGUUGAAGGAACUGGCAUCGGAAGUGAAAUGUAAAACAUAGAACUGAACCCGCUGUCUAAGUAUCUGGGAGGACAAUCUCAGUCGCAGUAAAAGCAAGGGUAAACCUGAUAUGAUCUGGAGCAACAGCAACAGUGACAAAAUAGCCUGGAUGGCAUGAAGUGGGCAAUGCCAGAAUGGCAAAAACUGUACAAGGGAGGCAGGCAAGCAUGGAAUUAUUCAGAGCCCUGAGGACUAUGGAAAACUCUGGAAUUCACUCUAUGGUCAUUGAACUCAUAAAGACAUUGAAGUCUCCUUAACAAAGGAAUGGCGCCAGUUGAUUGACAGGUCGAACCUCCCUAGUUGUUACACGGCGGAUUCGCUGCAGGAGAGCAGAGCUCUCCUCUUCUUUCCCUGAAUGACUGCAGGAAAUUGUGGUGCUGCCUUCCCUGGCAAACAAGGAGUGAAAAAUCCCUUUGUGUUCAGCAGGUCAAGGUAACUCCUAGGACACAGCUUUUCAGUAAAAAGCAAUCACUGGUGUUCACUAGAGUCUUGAUGAAGUCUUUGUUAAGUGUAGCAUAUUUCUUCAAUUCUUCUACCUGAGCAUAUCUCCUCUUCCUAUUAUUUGAGCUAGAAGCAAUAACAAUGUCCUAAGAUGUGCAGUUUUAGCAGGAGUAAUAGUGAACAUGUUCUCAAGUAGAGGCCUUUUGGAAUGAUUCAGAAAUUGCAGCCCAUUCUGUAGCAAUGAGAAAUGGAUAUAUCAGCCUUUUGUAAAUUAUAAUGCGUAGUGCAAAUAAACAUCAUUAUGAGGGAUGGAAUACCCAACAUGCUUAAACUAGGGCAAGCAUCUGCACUAAACUACUUUUCCUCAUUUGGCCCAUGGAUCCUCUUUUUGUAAGCAAGUAUUAAACAGAGAUGUUUGGCAUUGCAGUGAUGACCAUUCUGUCAAAGUUGGAAGCUUAGAACUCUGAAUUACUUUCCAAAAUAUAAACCUUAACCUUGAGAGAGUUGUAAUCACCUGCGACAUUUUUGUAAAAAUUAAUUAAAUAUUAAAUAAAAGGAGCAAGGGACAUAAUCACUGUCAGGACUGGCACAUUCUUUUCUACUGACUCUCAGAAGAAAGCACUUAUGCAAAAAUGCACUUUUACCUUGUUUAUAUUUCUUUCACUGAAAUUUACUGAACAGGACCUCGGAUAUAAAUAUCAAAUCAGCCAUUUGCUCUUUAGCGCAGUAGUCCAAGGUCAUUUCACCAAAGGGAGGAAAAAUUAAAACUACAUGAGACAGUAGCUCUGGAAUGAGGCUUUAGGGUUACUAGUUAGUUAAAAUAUCAAUUUCUAAGACUAUGGAAAAAAUCGAAAAUCAUUUUUUCCACUUAAAAUUGUCAGACUGCUAAUGCCGAAGUAGGAACAUCAUUUUCCCCUCAGCUGUGAUUAGUACGGUGUGUAGAAAAUGUAUGGGCAGGUUUUCAAGGUUAUCAGGCUGACAGCCAUAAUGACUCCAUUGUACUGCAG
rnacentral:lncRNA from 1 species